CAUGACUCUUCGCCUCCUGGCUUGGAUUUCUAGUAGUAAACGUUCUGACACAAGUAACUUUGUGUGUACAAUCAAAAGAAACUACUUUUUGAGAAAAGAGGAUGUUCCUCUAUGCUUGCAUAUGAACUCCUUAUGCAUGGUCUUGGUAUUUCACACACAACCUUGAACUGUGCAACCCCC